AGAACUGAAUUGGAAAUUCAAAGGUGCUGCAAAGCUUUUUCUCCGACAAACUUCUGCCAUGAGAGCUGACAGCAUGCAAUCUUUAUCUCAGUGACAUUCUCAGAAACAAAGAUACAGUGAAUGAUAAAACAUUAGGAGGAGACAAGCGGCAGAAGUAGUUUAAAGAGGCUGCUGCACUGAGAUCACCUCAACCCUGAGAUCAGGAGCUCAGAAUAACAAAGCAUCUGAAGCAGCUCAGAUACUCCACAGUCCAACACUGCUGACACAGGAGAGGGAUGACAUGGAAACAAACGCAGACGCAGCAGACGGCCUUCAGAAGAAGUCCAAGAAGAAAUAUUUGAGGCCACGGACUGAAACAGUAUUUUUACCUGUCAUCAUGAGACAUUUGGGAUCAAAGCACCGCGUGCUGUUUCUCCCACCUCUGUUAUGAUGCCAAGAAGAAGAAGCUGCUUCAGAGAAGUGGGCUUCAUGGUCUCAGUGCACAGGCUGCCAGUCACACUCACACACUGCAACAUGUGUUUUCACUGCCACAAUCAAAACAUUGAACAAAUUCUUUGAUUAUGGAUUGUUGUUAGGAGCUGCGCUAUUUACUGCAUGCUAAGAUGUGUUAUUAAACAAAAUGGUGCAUUCUAUUUUGAUGACAGCUGCACCCCAAGCUUUGAUUUUAAAAAGUUUAUUUAUUUUCCAGUGGACAAAAUCUUUGCUGUUACACGUCUCUCAUUUUUUCCAUAUUUCUGUCUCUAGCUCUUGAGUGUCAUGGCUCUGUCUUUUCUCUAACAGAGAGCCUUUAAAAUAUUAAAAAGUGCCUAUUAAUUUUACUUUUAAAUCAUCUUCAUGUGGAUGUUAUCUUUUCAUUUGUUAUUUUUUUAAUGCUCACACUGCUGUGUAGUGUACAGUAGAGACAUUUUAGUUUCCUAAUUAUGAGACUGGGCUGCUUGUCUGUGAUUUGGAAGUUUGUAUCUGUUUGUGACUCUGCAGAGAUUAAAGCUGUGAUCCAGUCUCAGCCUGGAUCCACUGUUUGAUUUGACUGGAGGUUGCUAAGCUUUAAUUAUCAUGAUACAUUUUAAACUCUGAUUAGAUACACAAUUUGAA